CUAAAUGACAAUUGUUGCUGGUAACGGGUAACAGGUUAACAUGAGAUCCUGAAGAAUGGCCCUUCACGAAACCAUUGUGGCCUGAAAGGAGCACCUCAAUAAUGUGUUUUUUCAGGUGUUAUUCUAGGAUUGCCCUGUAUUUGCUUCCUCCAGCUUGCCCUCAUCCCUGACCAGUUUCCCAGUCCCUGCCAUUGAAGAGGAUCACCACAAUCUGAUGCUACCACCACCAUGCUUCACUGUGCGGAUGGUGUCCUCAAGGUCAAAACUUCUGCUUUUGGUGGUCACUCCCCCACCUCCAUUCCAUUCCAUGAGCCAUUCUCACGACAAAAGGGAGUUUUUACCCUCUUUGGUUCACCAGGCUCUGCCAUCUCCAUCAGAAAGAAGGCUUGUAGUUGACAUGCUAAUUGCUGGGAAAAAAACCAUUUGUCUGCGUGAGUUAAUAGCUGUGGAGGAGAAGAGCAGGCCUCUGGAGAGAGGGUCAGUGUUGUCGUGCUGAGAGAGCAGAAAGCAGGCCUGGGCCAUAUGGUCAGCACUGUUUCUCCUUCUGAUUCAUCAUCCGCUCACUCCAGCAUGGCUUCUCCAGGCCAUGCUUCACCGGGUCAAGUUCACUCAGCACUGCAGUAAUCAGUCUCCGGGAGUCCAGAGGGAUCGGCACAUGGCUGAACUUCUACCAACCACAUAGAUUAGUAUCAUGACAUUUGGGAGAAUAAAGUGUAUUCACACAGGAUGUGUGCAAAACGUCUGUCAGUUCAUUGAAGCUAACAUGAUGAAUGGUUUCACUUCAAGGCAAAUGCUAGGCUGAUUAAUAUGUCAUAUUUCUUUUUGCAUGUAGCUAGCUAUCUGUCUUGAAAAGAAGCAAUCCCAGGAGAAUCCCAGGAGAGGAAGCACAUCCAGGCAGAAGUGAAUGUCACUCGUGCAUCUCAGUCUCACAAGCUGUAAUGGGAAUGCACAUUAUAAUUCAUAUACACAUGUAUCCAGAGUAACAGUGGCCAGUGGCCUGGGUAACAAUAAUAGGCUAAUAAUAAUAGUAUAAUAACCAACUACAUGUUUGAUGAGUGAUUACACAAGUAUGACCAAUUUAAGUGAAAAUUACAAUAUAUUUAAAACCACACUGAUGGACGACUUCUACUGUUUUAUUCCAUUAUCUGUGACUCUAUUGAACAAACAGCACCAUGUUAGCGGGCAAUGUCAACAUGUCAAAAGCAAAUUAGAUUUUUGGUGGAAGAAAGUAAGAAAAAUGAGGGAAAGAAGAAAGUUAA